CUUCAUAGGAGCCUAAUGCCCUUAAGUGGACAUUUGAGGAACUGCAUUAUUAAUGUAUAUUUAUUUUUUUAAGUAUUUAUUUUGGGCGAUUUUACCCUUUAUUGACAGGACAUGGUGAAAUGUGGGGAGACAGAGAGAGAAGACAGAGACAGAGGGGGAGGACAUGCAGCACAUGGUCAGAGCUGGACUCGAACCUGUGACUGCUGUCCCCAUGUAUGGGGCGCGCUCACCCACUGCAUGCCCCACUGCAGGUUCUUUUAACUACUCUUAUGACUUCCUUUUUAACGCUGGAGGUUACCACUCGGUUAAAUCAGGAAGUAAAAAUGCUGGGCUGUGUCUUAAAAUAUUGAACAUACUGAAGAGUUGUGGUGCAAACAUCUUUAAAGACUCUUUAGUCCAUCAUGAGACUGUAAACCUUUAGCAGCCCUUGAAGGCAGCUGACCUGUUCCACCUAUUGAGUGGGGCAGGUGAGUCCUCUCGACUCCACAGUCGAUUUUUCCUGACCUGUGAGGUAACUCAGGAUGAACAAAUCAAUCGUGCUCUGCUAUGUGAAUUCAGUUUUCAUUAAAAAGCAAAACAUAAAACCCAUCACAGCUCUAAUGACAGGAGAUCUCUCCUCCCAGCAACCUUAUUUAAUAUUCACCCGGCUGCGCUGCUCUCACUCUGUGAUGGUCUAUGCCCUUUGAGUUAAACCAAGACAUAUGUGACAUUUGUAGCCUCAGAUCUUUACCAGAGAGCAGCACUCAGCUUUAAAGACAGAGAGGAGAGCGCCAUCCAGUCCUUGACACCAGUAUCUCCUCUCAGAAGAAGAUCACUCUUAUAAAUUGGCACCUGAAGGCUUUCAGCAGAACCAGCAUGGCCACAGAUCAGCAGUGUCAUGGGGAUCUCCCUGCUGCUGCAGCCUGCAGCAAUGUGAUGGCUCGCUGCAGCAGGAAGGCCAUGAAAACUGCAGCAGAAGGAACAUAAAGAACAGCUCCUAAACCACCAAAUCCAAAAUAAAUUCCCCCCUGUCGGCUUUAAAUGAGCAGAAAAUAGAGCCUCUGUUUCCCCCUGCAUCUUACAAAAAAGAGCUGCAGAGUCCACCCGCCCUGCAAUCCCCAGAUGUGCACAGCCUGAGGCUGGAGCUGAUGGGAUACAAAAAAAGGAGACCUUUCCAGCUUGACCUAUCAGUUCCCUGUCAAUACAUCUUCCCCUCCUUGAGCAAUGACCUCUGACCUCUGAGGCAGCCAACAGGAGGUGGAAGAGUCACAGGGAGAAGGGAAAGGCAGGAAGACAGCGUCUAAUUCAUCUGAAGAGUGGGAACAGAUAGAUGGAGGCAGGCAGGCUGGCAGCGCUUUUUCAGCAAGGUAAUGACGCGUGGUGUUUUCAGUCGCUAAGUGUGUGCAUGUGUGUGUGUGUUUCUGGGUUUGGUGAUAACACACAGAGAGGACUCCAUGUGGGGAUUCACAUAAAGGAGGGCAGAGGAGAGAGGGAGCGAGGAGGGAGGGAAGGGGGCUGAAAAAAAAGGAGAAAAACAAAAGAAGAAGACGGAUAUGGAGGAAGUACGGGAUGCAGUGACAGAGCGGGUGCGGAGUGAGACGUCAGCAAGUGAUGGAGGUGCAGCGGAGGUGAGCGCAGAGGGAGGUGAUGUGUAUGGGUAGAGAUGGAGAGGCUCCUGCACUUAUCGUCCGUCAUCAGAGCUCCAGCCGGGGCCCCCUGUCCUCCUACACUGAGCCCCAGGAGAGGAGCCUGGGCAUGGGCCACUUAGACACUGACAGACCUCCUGCCUGGAUACUUUAUCAUCGGGAGCAGAAGGGAGGAGAAGAGAGGAGGGGAGCAGACAGGAGCCAGGGGGGAGACAUCGAGGACAGCUUCUCACAAGGUGCAGGAAGAGACGCUCCCUCCAAGAUCUUAUAGUGAUUUGAAAUGAGAUAAAUCCUGUCUUAAAGGUGGGGUAGUCAGGAUCUGAGGAAGUGCCUAUUUUUGGGAAAAAUCUUGAAUGUAAACUCUACCCCUCCCAACCAGUUUUCCCCUCAGCUCCUCCUCUCUCCUUCCUCUCUGCUCCAGCAAGCCCCGCCCACAAACAAACGCUCUCUCAGUCAACGUGGAAGUUGACUGGGCCCCAUUGGUGCUACUGUAGACGCCAACAGACUACCAGCAAACACAAUGUUUGCAGGACUUCUACAACUAAGAUAAAGUGACAUAGUCCAGGACCCGAGGUCAACAGUUUAGUGGCGCUACAACACACAGCAGGUCCAGUUUGAUAAGAAACACUUCUGUUACAGA